GACGAACGCUGGCGGCGGGCUUAACACAUGCAAGUCGAACGGAAAGGCCCUGCUUUUGUGGUGUGCUCGAGUGGCGAACGGGUGAGUAACACGUGAGUAACCUGCCCUUGACUUUGGGAUAACUUCAGGAAACUGGGGCUAAUAUCGGAUAGGAGCUCCUGCUGCAUGGUGGGGGUUGGAAAGUUUCGGCGGUUGGGGAUGGACUCGCGGCUGAUCAGCUUGUUGGUGGGGUAGUGGCGUACCAAGGCUUUGACGGGUAGCCGGCCUGAGAGGGUGACCGGCCACAUUGGGACUGAGAUACGGCCCAGACUCCUACGGGAGGCAGCAGUGGGGAACAUUGCACAAUGGGAGGAAGCCUGAUGCAGCAACGCCGCGUGCGGGAUGACGGCCUUCGGGUUGUAAACCGCUUUAGCCUGUGACGAAGCGUGAGUGACGGUAAUGGGUAAAGAAGCACCGGCUAACUACGUG
rnacentral:rRNA from 1 species